AAGAGCCGUAUGCGGUAAUUCUGCACGUACGGAUCUGAGCGGGGGAUAUUCCUACCGCGAC
rnacentral:autocatalytically_spliced_intron from 1 species